rnacentral:lncRNA from 1 species
AAUACAUUUUCUAAAUAGUUCAGUUUAUAUUUUUUGUUAAUUAACAUAAAUUUGUUAAUUAAGCAUUUCACGGACUGUUCACCAGUAACACACCACUUUCUUCCUAAAGGUAUCGUCUUUUAUCUUUUCUUCAAGGGAGAGGAGUUCAUUGAUGGUGCCACACACUUCAAGGCUCAUCUCCUCUGCUUGCUGGCUAAGGAGGUGAUCUGAGGAGAAUCAAUAUUGAUUCGUUAAAAUUAAGGACCUGGUUUAACCAGCAGUGGAGAGAGUCAUGAAGGAGAAUCACCAAAUAACACUGACAGCGAAGGUUCAUACCUUCAUAAGAGCUGCUGAGACACACCGGUCGUCUUUUCCUUUUGGGGGUGUCAUCACAGCUCUCAAGUGA